UACGAAGGGGGCGAGCGUUGUUCGGAAUUACUGGGCGUAAAGGGCGCGCAGGCGGCCCUUGAAGUCAGGCGUGAAAGCCCCGGGCUCAACCUGGGAGGUGCGCUUGAUACUCGAGGGCUUGAGUGCGGGAGAGGAGAGUGGAAUUCCCAGUGUAGAGGUGAAAUUCGUAGAUAUUGGGAAGAACACCGGUGGCGAAGGCGGCGAGCUGGUCCAUUACUGACGCUGAGGCGCGACAGCGUGGGGAGCAAACAGG
rnacentral:rRNA from 1 species